rnacentral:misc_RNA from 1 species
CGUAUUUCUCUUUGAGCGCUAUGAAUCACAAAAAUCCAGAUGAGUGCUGAGCUAUAGCCACCAUAGGCUUCCGUCCAUGCCAUAGCUGUCAGCACGGCAACAAGCAUGUGGCCACUAUAUAUAAGGUCAUUGCAACCCCCUGACGCUUUCUUUAGCAGAUGAUACCAAGCAGAUGAUCCCUCAGGAGCUGUAGGCCGAAGGAAAUCAAUCAGAAAGCUCAUUGAACCCCAAUCUGGUCGAAACUCCGGAUCGUAUUCCCCAGGAUCAGCAUAUGCUGUGUCCCAGUUUAUGACGUUCCGUAUGGCAUUUGAAUCUGUGGCAUAUGGUACAUAAUAUUUCUGAGCCCAAGGAUGAGGGUGCUGAGGAACAAGGAAUCUAGCAGAUGCACACCAUGGUCGAGCAGAUGGUAGAAUUGUGGAGAUAAAAGUUAUGGCCCGAAGUAGCCUUCCGAUUCCCAUUGUGAACAUGAAUCUUGCACCAAGCCCAAGACCAGGAGCUUUGACGGAGUUGAACAGAACAGAAAAGG